GAUCUGGUUCAGGAUGAACGCUAGCUACAGGCUUAACACAUGCAAGUCGAGGGGCAGCAUGGGAUAGCUUGCUAUUCAGAUGGCGACCGGCGCACGGGUGAGUAACGCGUAUCCAACCUUCCUGCCAGUAGGGAACAGCCCGGCGAAAGUCGGAUUAAUGCCCUAUGUUCUUCAAUGCGGACAUCUAAGUUGAAGGAAAGAUUCAUCGCUGGCAGAUGGGGAUGCGUCCGAUUAGCUUGCCGGCGGGGUAACGGCCCACCGGGGCGACGAUCGGUAGGGGUUCUGAGAGGAAGGUCCCCCACACUGGUACUGAGACACGGACCAGACUCCUACGGGAGGCAGCAGUGAGGAAUAUUGGUCAAUGGGCGUAAGCCUGAACCAGCCAAGUAAGCGUGCAGGACGACUGCCCUAUGGGUUGUAAACUGCUUUUAUAGGGGAAUAAAGUGAGGAACGUGUUCCUUUUUGUAUGUACCCUAUGAAUAAGGACCGGCUAAUUCCGUGCCAGCCGCCGC
rnacentral:rRNA from 1 species